UACGGAGGGUGCAAACGUUGCUCGGAAUCAUUGGGCGUAAAGCGCACGUAGGUGGCCCAGCAAGUCGGGUGUGAAAGCCCUCGGCUUAACCGAGGAAGUGCAUUCGAAACUACUGAGCUUGAAUACUGGAGAGGAUCGCGGAAUUCCCGGUGUAGAGGUGAAAUUCGUAGAUAUCGGGAGGAACACCAGUGGCGAAGGCGGCGAUCUGGACAGAUAUUGACGCUGAGGUGCGAAAGCGUGGGGAGCAAACAGG
rnacentral:rRNA from 1 species